AACGCACAUUGCGCCCUUUGGCAUUCCGAAGGGCAUGCCUGUUCGAGCGUCAUGAUCAAACCUCAAGUAUUGUGCUUGGUAUUGGGUGUUCGUCUCAUCUGUCUAUGUGUACAGGUAGUGGCGUGCCUGAAAGUUAAUAGCGGGUGCCUCAAUAGGACUCAAGCGUAGCAGACUGACGCGCUUUGGAGAAAUUUUGUGGACCUUAAUAAAACAAUUAGUUGGACCUCGGAUCAGGUAGGGAUACCCGCUGAACUUAA
rnacentral:misc_RNA from 1 species